UGGGGAAUUUUGGACAAUGGGCGAAAGCCUGAUCCAGCAAUGCCGCGUGAGUGAAGAAGGCCUUCGGGUUGUAAAGCUCUUUUGUCAGGGAAGCGGUACCUGAAGAAUAAGCACCGGCUAACUACGUGCCAGCAGCCGCGGUAAUACGUAGGGUGCAAGUGUUAAUCGGAAUUACUGGGCGUAAAGCGUGCGCAGGCGGUUUUGUAAGUCUGUCGUGAAAUCCCCGGGCUCAACCUGGGAAUUGCGAUGGAGACUGCAAGGCUAGAAUCUGGCAGAGGGGGGUAGAAUUCCACGUGUAGCAGUGAAAUGCGUAGAGAUGUGGAGGAACACCGAUGGCGAAGGCAGCCCCCUGGGUCAAGAUUGACGCUCAUGCACGAAAGCGUGGGGAGCAAACAGGAUUAGAUACCCUAGUAGU
rnacentral:rRNA from 1 species